UCUUCCCGGCACCACCUUCCUUCCUUCUUUUCUAUUUCAUUUUCUUUUCACCUUGCUUCAAGGCUUCAAAAUUUGAUUACUCCCUCAUUUGUGGGAAUUUUUGGAUGUCGUUUGCGACAAAACGGAGAGCACGACGAGAUCUACGUGUGAGUACAAGCAAUUUCAGUAUUGGCCUCCCCUAGGAUUUCGAGUUUUGAGACCCAUUUUGAGGGUUUUUCUACAAUUUGAGGUUAUAGGAAAGAAGUGGCCGACGGCGCUCCUCCACAGAGUUCAAUGGGUUAGUGGACUGCAGUGACAUAUCUUGUAGCUAUGAUAUCUUUUUAUUAUUAUUGCUAUUAUUAUUAUUAUUUUUAAACUCUGGGAUGACACGUAUAUUAUGUAUUGACGUAAUGACGGUUAUGUCUUUAGUUGACCUCGGGUUCGGAUAAGGACCCGGUUAGCUAUUCGGACUCUUGGGUUCAGGUCGUUACAAAUUGCUAACUUAUAUAUAUUGAAUUUCAAUUC